rnacentral:rRNA from 1 species
UACGGGGGGGGCAAGCGUUGUUCGGAAUUACUGGGCGUAAAGGGCUCGUAGGCGGCCAACUAAGUCGGAUGUGAAAUCCCCAGGCUCAACCUGGGAACUGCGUCCGAUACUGGUGGGCUUGAAUCCGGGAGAGGGAUGCGGAAUUCCAGGUGUAGCGGUGAAAUGCGUAGAUAUCUGGAGGAACACCGGUGGCGAAGGCGGCAGCCUGGACCGGCAUUGACGCUGAGGCGCGGAAGCUAGGGGAGCAAACGGG